rnacentral:rRNA from 1 species
GGUCUUCGGACCUAGUGGCGCACGGGUGAGUAACAUGUGGGAAUCUACCUGAAGGUUCGGAAUAACUGCGGGAAACUGUAGCUAAUACCGGAUGUGUCUGCAAAGAGAAAGAUUUAUCGCCUUCAGAUGAGCCCGCAAUAGAUUAGCUAGUUGGUGAGGUAACUGCUCCACCAAGGCUACGAUCUAUAGCUGAUUUGAGAGGAUGAUCAGCCACACUGGGACUGAGACACGGCCCAGACUCCUACGGGAGGCAGCAGUAGGGAAUAUUGGACAAUGGGGGAAACCCUGAUCCAGCAAUGCCGCGUGAGUGAAGAAGGCCUUCGGGUUGUAAAACUCUUUCAUCAAUGAUGAUAAUGACAUUAGUUGAAGAAGAAGCUCCGGCUAACUUCGUGCCAGCAGCCGCGGUAAUACGAAGGGGGCUAGCGUUGUUCGGAAUCACUGGGCGUAAAGCGUAUGUAGGCGGAUCAAAAAGUUAGAUGUGAAAUCCCUGGGCUCAACCCAGGAACUGCAUUUAAAACUAGUGAUCUAGAAUUUGGUAGGGGUUAGUAGAAUUUCCAGUGUAGAGGUGAAAUUCGUAGAUAUUGGAAAGAAUACCAGUGGCGAAGGCGACUAACUGGGCCAUUUUUGACGCUGAGAUACGAAAGCGUGGGUAGCAAACAGGAUUAGAUACCCUGGUAGUCCACGCAGUAAACGAUGAGUGCUAGUCGCUGGGACAAUAGUUUCAGUGUCGAAGCUAACGCAUUAAGCACUCCGCCUGGGAAGUACGGUCGCAAGAUUAAAACUCAAAU